CCCAUUUACAUUUGAAAAGAACAACCUUGAAUCGUCCAUUAUAAUUGAUCUCAAUAAUAUCUUCUAACUUCCCAUAAUAUGGUAUCUCCGCUUGCCUUAAAUUUCCAUCAGAGCUACUUGCAACACAUGAUGUUUUAGAGGUUAAGAAAACUCCACCAUUCUGUGUUUUCAGACCUUCUUCUCGGUCUCUAGUUUUCCACUUGCCAAAACGAACACAUGUGACAUGGGCAUCUGAUUGUAUCUUCCACAGCCGCAUUCUUAAAUGCAAAAUCAAGAAAUUUAUCCAAACCAAGCAAGUAUUCAUUUGAGGUCUGUAGCUUUCCAAUCCAUGAUUUAUCCAUUGAUAAGUAAUAAAAAAAAAUUAACAGGGACAGGUUAGAGUAUACCUCCAAAAGAAAUCCCCCUAAUGCAGGAAUACCUUUAAAUUUUGUUGUACUUGCGAUCUACUCCAAGAAUUCCAAAUUGCUCGUUCAAACCAAAUUAAUUCCAGAAAUUGACAGAGGAUAGAAAGAAUCUAUUAGGAAUCCCCACAAAGGACUUCUUGUAUACCAAUAUAGUAAAGGAUGGAACAAGUAGUAGAGAAAGGAGGGAAAACUUCAAACCAAGAAAACCUAAUCAGAAAGAAAAGAUUUAGAUAGUUCUACGGUUGUGCUAUGAGGAAGUUUUUCUUCGUGCCUAAAUCUGCUCAACUGUGG
rnacentral:lncRNA from 1 species